AUAAAAAUAGGUUAUAAUAAAAGUAUGUCUAAUUUUUUACAUACUGUAGAAAUAAAAAAGAAAAUGACUUUGGAAAAAAAAAAGAAAAAAAACAGAAAAAAAAAAAGGUUUUAUUUGGAUUGUACGUGUGGUGAAACUGAAACAUGCGGUGAAACAUGCAAUGACGUACAUAAUGGCUCAAAUGACAAAGUACAUGACAAAUCAAACGAUAGCAUACACGACGACACAAACGACAACUUAACCGAGUUUAUCAACUUUUAUAAAGAACAUAAUGUAUUUUCGUUUUGCAACGAAUAUGUAGAUAUGAAUUUUGUUUUACAAACAAAUAAUGUAUGUUCGUUUAUUAAUAAACUAGAGUUUGUGACAGAUUAUGAUGAACAGAUUUAUAUAGAUAUGUAUGAUAGUUUUUUGUCUCUUUUUGCUUGGACAGAGAGUUUAUGUUUUUUAUUUUUAAAAUUAAAUUUGUUUAAAAAAAGUUAUUUAUUGUAUAGCAAUGUUUCAAAAUUAUUUUUAAAACAUUUGAAUGUAUAUAUAAAAAAAAAAAAAUGCAUUAUUCAUUCUCCUAUUUUAUUUGAAAAAAAUUAUUUAACUAUAGCUAGAUACAUAAGAGAAAAAAAUAUAUGCUCCAUUCACAUAUUAGAAUAUAUAUUUUAUAAAGAACUUACGUUAUUACUUUAUUUAAAUAAUUUUGCACAUAUGUCACGUAAAGCCUUAAGCUUUUCUAAAUUUUUUUACAGAAACAAACUGUUUAUAUUUAUGCACAAUAUUAUUAAAUUUAAAAACAAAAUAGAUAAAAAUCCACAAAAUUACAAUUAUGUUAAAAAUAUUCAAAAAAAAAAUAACGUCCUAUAGAAAAAAGUAUAUAGAAAGUAAAAAAAAGGAAUGUGUUAAGAAUGAUAACAAUGGACAUAGGUUAAUAAGAAAAGAGGAUAGUUGCCACAAAACGAAGGACACAACAAGUAGAAAAGAUGACAUUAUUAAAACGGAUGCUGAAAAAAAUGAACAUAUCAAAAAUGAACAUAUCAAAAAUGAACACAUAAAAAAUGAACAC
ensembl:lncRNA